ACGCCGCGUGCGGGAUGACGGCCUUCGGGUUGUAAACCGCUUUUGAUCGGGAGCAAGCCUUCGGGUGAGUGUACCUUUCGAAUAAGCACCGGCUAACUACGUGCCAGCAGCCGCGGUAAUACGUAGGGUGCAAGCGUUAUCCGGAAUUAUUGGGCGUAAAGGGCUCGUAGGCGGUUCGUCGCGUCCGGUGUGAAAGUCCAUCGCUUAACGGUGGAUCUGCGCCGGGUACGGGCGGGCUGGAGUGCGGUAGGGGAGACUGGAAUUCCCGGUGUAACGGUGGAAUGUGUAGAUAUCGGGAAGAACACCAAUGGCGAAGGCAGGUCUCUGGGCCGUUACUGACGCUGAGGAGCGAAAGCGUGGGGAGCGAACAGGAUUAGAUACCCUGGUAGUCCACGCCGUAAACGGUGGAUGCUGGAUGUGGGGCCCGUUCCACGGGUUCCGUGUCGGAGCUAACGCGUUAAGCAUCCCGCCUGGGGAGUACGGCCGCAAGGCUAAAACUCAAAGAAAUUGACGGGGGCCCGCACAAGCGGCGGAGCAUGCGGAUUAAUUCGAUGCAACGCGAAGAACCUUACCUGGGCUUGACAUGUUCCCGACAGCCGUAGAGAUGCGGCCUCCCUUCGGGGCGGGUUCACAGGUGGUGCAUGGUCGUCGUCAGCUCGUGUCGUGAGAUGUUGGGUUAAGUCCCGCAACGAGCGCAACCCUCGCCCUGUGUUGCCAGCACGUCAUGGUGGGAACUCACGGGGGACCGCCGGGGUCAACUCGGAGGAAGGUGGGGAUGACGUCAGAUCAUCAUGCCCCUUACGUCCAGGGCUUCACGCAUGCUACAAUGGCCGGUACAACGGGAUGCGACAUGGCGACAUGGAGCGGAUCCCUGAAAACCGGUCUCAGUUCGGAUUGGAGUCUGCAACCCGACUCCAUGAAGGCGGAGUCGCUAGUAAUCGCGGAUCAGCAACGCCGCGGUGAAUGCGUUCCCGGGCCUUGUACACACCGCCCG
rnacentral:rRNA from 1 species